GAUGAACGCUGGCGGCGUGCUUAACACAUGCAAGUCGAACGGGAUCCAUCAGGCUUUGCUUGGUGGUGAGAGUGGCGAACGGGUGAGUAAUGCGUGACCGACCUGCCCCAUACACCGGAAUAGCUCCUGGAAACGGGUGGUAAUGCCGGAUGCUCCGACUCCUCGCAUGGGGUGUCGGGAAAGAUUUCAUCGGUAUGGGAUGGGGUCGCGUCCUAUCAGGUAGUCGGCGGGGUAACGGCCCACCGAGCCUACGACGGGUAGCCGGCCUGAGAGGGCGACCGGCCACAUUGGGACUGAGAUACGGCCCAGACUCCUACGGGAGGCAGCAGUGGGGAAUAUUGCACAAUGGGCGCAAGCCUGAUGCAGCGACGCCGCGUGCGGGAUGACGGCCUUCGGGUUGUAAACCGCUUUUGAUCGGGAGCAAGCCUUCGGGUGAGUGUACCUUUCGAAUAAGCACCGGCUAACUACGUGCCAGCAGCCGCGGUAAUACGUAGGGUGCAAGCGUUAUCCGGAAUUAUUGGGCGUAAAGGGCUCGUAGGCGGUUCGUCGCGUCCGGUGUGAAAGUCCAUCGCUUAACGGUGGAUCUGCGCCGGGUACGGGCGGGCUGGAGUGCGGUAGGGGAGACUGGAAUUCCCGGUGUAACGGUGGAAUGUGUAGAUAUCGGGAAGAACACCAAUGGCGAAGGCAGGUCUCUGGGCCGUUACUGACGCUGAGGAGCGAAAGCGUGGGGAGCGAACAGGAUUAGAUACCCUGGUAGUCCACGCCGUAAACGGUGGAUGCUGGAUGUGGGGCCCGUUCCACGGGUUCCGUGUCGGAGCUAACGCGUUAAGCAUCCCGCCUGGGGAGUACGGCCGCAAGGCUAAAACUCAAAGAAAUUGACGGGGGCCCGCACAAGCGGCGGAGCAUGCGGAUUAAUUCGAUGCAACGCGAAGAACCUUACCUGGGCUUGACAUGUUCCCGACAGCCGUAGAGAUAUGGCCUCCCUUCGGGGCGGGUUCACAGGUGGUGCAUGGUCGUCGUCAGCUCGUGUCGUGAGAUGUUGGGUUAAGUCCCGCAACGAGCGCAACCCUCGCCCUGUGUUGCCAGCACGUCAUGGUGGGAACUCACGGGGGACCGCCGGGGUCAACUCGGAGGAAGGUGGGGAUGACGUCAGAUCAUCAUGCCCCUUACGUCCAGGGCUUCACGCAUGCUACAAUGGCCGGUACAACGGGAUGCGACACGGCGACGUGGAGCGGAUCCCUGAAAACCGGUCUCAGUUCGGAUUGGAGUCUGCAACCCGACUCCAUGAAGGCGGAGUCGCUAGUAAUCGCGGAUCAGCAACGCCGCGGUGAAUGCGUUCCCGGGCCG
rnacentral:rRNA from 1 species